rnacentral:rRNA from 1 species
CCAGACUCCUACGGGAGGCAGCAGUGGGGAAUAUUGCACAAUGGGGGGAACCCUGAUGCAGCGACGCCGCGUGGGCGAGGAAGUAUUUCGGUAUGUAAAGCCCUAUCGGCAGGGAAGAAGAAAUGACGGUACCUGACUAAGAAGCCCCGGCUAACUACGUGCCAGCAGCCGCGGGAAUACGUAGGGGGCAAGCGUUAUCCGGAUUUACUGGGUGUAAAGGGGGCGCAGACGGCAGCGCAAGCCAGGAGUGAAAGCCCGGGGCCCAACCCCGGGACUGCUCUUGGAACUGCGCGGCUGGAGUGCAGGAGGGGCAGGCGGAAUUCCUGGUGUAGCGGUGAAAUGCGUAGAUAUCAGGAGGAACACCGGUGGCGAAGGCGGCCUGCUGGACUGCGACUGACGUUGAGGCCCGAAAGCGUGGGGAGCAAACAGGAUUAGAUACCCUGGUACA